rnacentral:misc_RNA from 1 species
GAUGAAGAACGCAGCGAAAUGCGAUAAGUAAUGUGAAUUGCAGAAUUCAGUGUAUCAUCGAAUCUUUGAACGCACAUUGCGCCCCUUGGUAUUCCGAGGGGCAUGCCUGUUCGAGCGUCAUUAUAACCCCUCAAGCUCAGCUUGGUGUUGGGGCCUGCUGCACUGGCAGCCCUUAAAAUCAGUGGCGGCGCCAUCUGGCUCUAAGCGUAGUAAUUCUUCUCGCUAUGGAGUCCUGGUGGAUGCUUGCCAUCAACCCCCAAUUUUUCUAUGGUUGACCUCGGAUCAGGUAGGGAUACCCGCUGAACUUAAGCAUAUCAAUAAGCGGAGGA